rnacentral:rRNA from 1 species
AUUGAACGCUGGCGGCAUGCUUUACACAUGCAAGUCGAACGGUAACAGGCCUUCGGGUGCUGACGAGUGGCGAACGGGUGAGUAAUGCAUCGGAACGUACCCAGAGGUGGGGGAUAACGCAGCGAAAGCUGUGCUAAUACCGCAUGUGAUCUGAGGAUGAAAGCGGGGGACCGAGCAGCAAUGUUUGGCCUCGCGCCUUUGGAGCGGCCGAUGUCGGAUUAGCUAGUUGGUGGGGUAAAGGCCUACCAAGGCGACGAUCCGUAGCUGGUCUGAGAGGACGACCAGCCACACUGGGACUGAGACACGGCCCAGACUCCUACGGGAGGCAGCAGUGGGGAAUUUUGGACAAUGGGCGCAAGCCUGAUCCAGCAAUGCCGCGUGCGGGAAGAAGGCCUUCGGGUUGUAAACCGCUUUUGGCAGGAACGAAACGGUGUCCGCUAAUACCGGGCGCUAAUGACGGUACCUGCAGAAUAAGCACCGACUAACUACGUG